rnacentral:rRNA from 1 species
GACGAACGCUGGCGGCGUGCUUAACACAUGCAAGUCGAACGGAAAGGCCUGCUUUCCCUUGUGGAUUGCGGGUACUCGAGUGGCGAACGGGUGAGUAACACGUGAGUGAUCUGCCCCCAACUUGGGUAUAAGCCUGGGAAACUGGGUCUAAUUCCCGAUAGGACUGCAGGGUGGUGCCUGUGGUGGAAAACGAUUUUCUAGUGGUUGGGGAUGAGCUCGCGGCCUAUCAGCUUGUUGGUGGGGUAAUGGCCUACCAAGGCGGCGACGGGUAGCCGGCCUGGGAGGGUGGACGGGCACAUUUGGACUGAGAUACGGCCCAGACUCCUACGGGAGGCAGCAGUGGGGAAUAAUGCACAAUGGGCGGAAGCCUGAUGCAGCGACGCCGCGUGGGGGAUGACGGCCUUCGGGUUGUAAACUCCUUUCGACCGCGAGGAAGCCACCUGGUUGGAAGGGUGGUGACGGUAGUGGUAGAAGAAGCACCGGCUAACUACGUG